CUUUUAAACUGCUCAUAGGUAGCUCGUCUGGUUUCGGUGUAUCUAGCUAAAGUUCUCUUUGUUAGAUUUUUUCUGGUUAAAUCAUUAUGCAAAAGGUAGAAGGGGUAAUCUUUGCUUUUUGUUACUUUUAUUUUGUUCUUUCAUCUUUCCCUUACGGUACUAUCUCUAUAGCGUCAAGAUAAAAAUUUCUAUCUCCUAUACUUUAAUGUCAGGUAAAUGUUUUAUUUUAUUUUAGUGUAGUUUUUGUGUUUAUUUAGUAUGUUGAGCUAGCUUUAGUUCAAAGCACCCAUAUAUUGUGGGAUCUUCUAGGUGUAAACUAGGUACUUUAGUUUAAGCUAUGCUUUGGUAAUCCAAGCACACUUUCCAGUAUGCUUACCUUGUUACGACUUGUCUCCUCUUGCAUGAUUAUGUAAUUAAAUAUAGGUUAUUUUGUAUUACUAUAUGCUUGAGGAGGGUGACGGGCGGUGUGUGCGUACUUCAUGGCCUUAUUCAAUCAAGCACUCUAUUCUUGAUUUACUGCUAAAUCCUCCUUUGGUUUUUAGUUUCAUAAAAACUUUCGUACGGUGAAUAUUCUUAUGCAGAAAAUGUAGCCCAUUUCUUUCCAACUCAUAAGCUACACCUUGACCUAACGUUUUUAUGUGUUAUGAUUGUGCUUACUAUUGUUCCUUUGUAGGGUUGGUAAGGUCUAUCGGGGUUUAUCGAUUAUAGAACAGGCUCCUCUAGGUAGAUGUGAAGCACCGCCAAGUCCUUUGAGUUUUAGGCUGUUGCGAGUAGUACUCUGGCGAAUAGUUUUGUUAUAUAACUAUUUGGGCAUGUUGUUGAGUCUCCAUGUGUUUGUGUUUUUUGCAGUUUUUUUCUUGUUGAUUUCUGGUCGUAUAACAUUGUGGUCAGAAAAGAUGCUUGAUAUGAUUUCAAUUUUCUUAAUGUUACUGAGCUUGGACUUGUAGCUCAGGAUGUUAUCAAUCUUAGAGAAUGUUCCAUGUGCACUUGAGAAGAAUGUGUAUUCUGUUGCUUUUGGAUAGAAUGUCCUAUAAAUAUCUAUUAAGUCCAUCUGGUCUAAUGCUUCAUUCAGGACCUGUGUUUCCUUAUUGAUUUUCUGACUGGUUGAUCUGUCCAUUGCUGUAAGUGGGGUGUUAAAGUCCCCCACUAUGAUUGUGUUAUUGGCGAUUUGUCUUUUUAAGGUUGUUAGCAGUUACCUUAUAUAUUGUGGUGAACCUGUGUUGGGUGCAUAGAUAUUUAAAAUUGUUAUAUCUUCUUCUUGGAUUGAUCCUUUGAUAAUUAUGUAAUGUCCUUCCUUGUCCCUGAAAAUAUUCUUCAGUCUAUUUUGUCUGAUAUGAGAAUUGCUACUCCAGCUUUCUUUUGAUCCCCGUUUGCAUGAAAUAUUUUCUUCCAUC
rnacentral:lncRNA from 1 species